AACGCACCUUGCGCUCGCUGGUAUUCCGGCGAGCAUGCCUGUUUGAGUGUCAUGAACUCUUCAACCCUUCGGUUCCUUGUUGAACUCGUGAGGUGUUUGGAUUUUGAGCGGUUGCUGGUCUUUUCGGAGAUGAAGCUCGUUCGUAAUACAUUAGCAAACUAAACCCGAAUUGUUCGGAUUGACUCGGCGUAAUAGACUUUAUUCGCUGAGGACACCUCUAGUGGGUGGCCGAAUAUCGAGAUAUAGUAGCUUCUAACUCUACAAUUUGAAGUCAAAUUUAUAAGAUUAGACCUCAGAUCAGGCAGGACUACCCGCUGAACUUAA
rnacentral:misc_RNA from 1 species